GAAUGUAAGAGUGAUCAGGCUGUGACAUCUGUCACUGGUUGAUCACCAGGGUUGAUUUGGCUGAUCUGGUGGGCUACACAGAUAUUCCCUUCCUCCCUUACCAUUCCAUGAAGCUUUGUGUUCAGUUGAAGAGGACAAACUUUCCCAAAUAGAGGAGGACCAGUCUUCAAUCGAGGGCACAUGAGUAGAUGUGCUUCUCUGCUAGAGCCUCCAAACAAGCUCGCAAGAUAAUGUAUUAUGUAUGGUGAAUACCUUUGAUGUGAGGCUGUUAUUCUGUCUACCACAAAAAUAAAGAACAUUUUAGGUGACAGUACAUGUGCUGGGAC
rnacentral:snRNA from 1 species